rnacentral:misc_RNA from 1 species
GAUGAAGAACGUAGCGAAAUGCGAUAAGUAGUGUGAAUUGCAGAAUUCAGUGAAUCAUCGAAUCUUUGAACGCACAUUGCGCCCUCUGGUAUUCCGGAGGGCAUGCCUGUCCGAGCGUCAUUGCUGCCCUCCAGCCCGGCUGGUGUGUUGGGCCCCGUCCCCCUUCCCGGGGGGACGGGCCCGAAAGGCAUCGGCGGCACCGCGUCCGGUCCUCGAGCGUAUGGGGCUUUGUCACCCGCUCUUGUAGGCCCGGCCGGCGCCAGCCGACCCCCUCAAUCUAUUUUUCAGGUUGACCUCGGAUCAGGUAGGGAUACCCGCUGAACUUAAGCAUAUCAAUAAGCGGAGGA